AGGCGCUACCAUGCAGUCGAGCGAACCUUCGGGUUAGCGGCGGACGGGUGAGUAACGCGUGGGAACGUACCCUCUUCUGCGGGAUAGCCACUGGAAACGGUGAGUAAUACCGCAUACGCCCUUCGGGGGAAAGAUUUAUCGGAGGAGGAUCGGCCCGCGUUGGAUUAGGUAGUUGGUGGGGUAAUGGCCUACCAAGCCUACGAUCCAUAGCUGGUUUUAGAGGAUGAUCAGCCACACUGGGACUGAGACACGGCCCAGACUCCUACGGGAGGCAGCAGUGGGGAAUCUUAGACAAUGGGCGCAAGCCUGAUCUAGCCAUGCCGCGUGAGUGACGAAGGCCUUAGGGUCGUAAAGCUCUUUCGCCAGAGAUGAUAAUGACAGUAUCUGGUAAAGAAACCCCGGCUAACUCCGUGCCAGCAGCCGCGGUAAUACGGAGGGGGUUAGCGUUGUUCGGAAUUACUGGGCGUAAAGCGCACGUAGGCGGAUUGGAAAGUUGGGGGUGAAAUCCCAGGGCUCAACCCUGGAACUGCCUCCAAAACUCCCAGUCUGGAGUUCGAGAGAGGUGAGUGGAAUUCCGAGUGUAGAGGUGAAAUUCGUAGAUAUUCGGAGGAACACCAGUGGCGAAGGCGGCUCACUGGCUCGAUACUGACGCUGAGGUGC
rnacentral:rRNA from 1 species